CAAGGGGCUAAAAAGAACUGCUAACUCUUAACACUGAAAUUAAAACCCAGACCCCUU
rnacentral:tRNA from 1 species